AACGAACGCUGGCGGCAUGCCUAACACAUGCAAGUCGAACGAGAUCUUCGGGUCUAGUGGCGCACGGGUGCGUAACGCGUGGGAAUCUGCCCUUUGGUUCGGAAUAACAGUUGGAAACGACUGCUACUACCGGAUGAUGACGAAAGUCCAAAGAUUUAUCGCCAGAGGAUGAGCCCGCGUAGGAUUAGCUAGUUGGUGUGGUAAAGGCGCACCAAGGCGACGAUCCUUAGCUGGUCUGAGAGGAUGAUCAGCCACACUGGGACUGAGACACGGCCCAGACUCCUACGGGAGGCAGCAGUGGGGAAUAUUGGACGAUGGGCGAAAGCCCGAUCCAGCAAUGCCGCGUGAGUGAUGAAGGCCUUAGGGUUGUAAAGCUCUUUUACCCGGGAUGAUAAUGACAGUACCGGGAGAAUAAGCUCCGGCUAACUCCGUGCCAGCCGCCGCGGUAA
rnacentral:rRNA from 1 species